UGAUUUUCCCUUGCAUUGCAUGGAUAAAGAGGUGUCGAUUGUUCUUGUAUAUGUGUUCAGUAAUACAAAUAAAAAUAGACGCUGAUGCUUUGGAAUGGUAGGAAAGGACUAUUCUGCUGAUGGAUGGUUUGUAAACUGCUGCUCGCAGUGUAAUUCCUCUGAGCUGAUGCAGUGCAAUCUGCUAUGGGCUAUGUGUGUUAUGCUGAAAGUUCAUAUAUCUGUCGGAUUAGUGAACUACCGACUGCUCUUUCUCUUUCUCUUCACUGUCAACGAAGUUCACAUUUUGAAGUCACUAAAUUCACUUCAACGCUGGCAAAGUUCACAUGUUUUAUCAUAGGAGCUCACUUUCUUUGUGUUUAAAAAGUGAGCUCACUUCUACUAUGUGAACUUAUAUGCCUGUGUAUUUUUUUUCUCUAUCUUUUGUGGCACAAAAGAACCGAUCCUGUAGUUGUGCUAAACCCUUGCUAGUUCUGAAUUUAUGAUGUUUCAUUUCAGAACUGCACCUAGUUCAGAGCUAAACUACUACCGGUAAAGAAUUUGCCAGGCGCCAUCACACCGUCGCUGGAAUUCAGAAGCGCUACGGCAAGUUGGAAUUCAAAAUCGCCGCUGCGGGCGUCCACUGACGUCAAUCUUCUGGUGUCUUGUUAAUCGCUAGCUAUCAAUCACACAAAAAGCAAACUGUGAAGUUCAGUCUUGUGCUCUUCCGAAGAUCAGUCUAUGGUGUGCAUCAUGCCUCUGAAAUUCUUUAGUUCACAGGCGAAUCAGUCCAUCAUGUUGAAUCCCUCAAAAGACUACAGAGAGCUUACCAUCCUGGCGCAAAAAAUGCUAAGGUGCACAUGGUAGAAGUUCACAUCAACUAUAUUGUGAAGCUCGCCUCUUCUUUCCCGUGAAUUCGCCUCUUCAAUUAUUUUGUCAGCAAGUUCACAUCGCCCUCAUGUAGAAAACUAGAAGUUCGGAUAUAAUUGUGGAGCACUGCAGUUCGCAUGGGCAUUGGCGAACAUCCCUCGGCGCACCUACCUCCGCAUCGGCGUUGGUGAACAUCAGUGCACACCAAGUUCCUCGUUAGGCUGAGAUGUUUUUGCAACUGACUGGCUAUGAAGUUCACAUCUCUUUUUAGGGUAAAAUCUCAUGUGAAUUUGAGGAACCCAAACGAACAGAUGGUAUAUCAGCCUCAGAUAAUAUAAUGAAGAUUGUUGAAGAUUAUACGAGUAUGUUACGCCUAAUCUGGCUAUUGCGUACAACAGAAAUGAUGGUGACAAGCUGGGCUGCUGUUUCAAGGUCACUUGCUAGCGUAUUGAGUAUAAAUUUACUCGCGAACCGCGUCUGGCUGGGUUGUGAAAACAGAUGCAGCAGCUGGUUUGCGAACUUGCUCAAUGA